CAACAGCCUUAUGCAUUCCAUGUGACCAUCAUCCCCAUUGUACAGAUGGGGCAUCUGAGGCUUAGGCUAGUCAGAUAAGUUGGGUUACAGAUGGGCUCCUGUAGCCAAAAUGUAGGGGAGCUGGAAUUUGACUCUAUAGGCCAUAUUCUUUCAACCAAUUUAUUAUCAACAGUAUUCAGGCAUUUCUCUGAGGACAACAUUUGGUGAGGGUUGCUUGAUGACACAGUCAGUGAAAUACCGUAAUUGAUAAGAGGGAUAGAGGGGGCUAAAUGUUUCUUUUGUUGUCUUAUAAAUGACAUACCGUAUUUCCUUGGGUCUCUGCUUCUUCUAUUUGAUUAUGUUUAAGUCUUAAAACUAGUGGGUUCUCCUUGAAAGUGUGAUAAGAAAUUGGAGAAGGAAGUAACCCCACAGAAGAAAGUGAACCAUGACAGCCUAACAGUGUGGGAAUGAAAACACAUAGGUGUCCCUAGAGUCUAAUCGCUUUUGUUAUACUCCAGAGGGAAACUUUGAUACUAAGCAUCAAGAAUUCAGCCCUCCUCCUCAUUUCACAUAUUGGGCAUAUAAUUUGUGUGGGGAUUACAACCUGAAUCUUCUUAGGUACCUCUGGUUUCUGACACAGCAGCAGCCUUUGAAUCACUGAGUGUUUUUUUCCCUGCUGCUUAAUCUCUGGUGCAGCCAAUUUAUAGACGGGAAGAGUUUUUACUUUAUCUGUUCCAACCACACUCCCUCCCACUUUCUGCUUUUGUAGCAGGAAGAAGCUUCAACUUCUCUUGCUCGGUGCAGGUUUGCCGAUGUGUGUGAGCUGUUGUGUGUGUGCAUCUAGACAUUCCUGAAGAUGCUGGAAACAAUGGUGGAAAGUUGGGAGGACAGAGAGGAUGGAAGUGUUCUUCCCACACUACUCCUUGUUGGACAGUGGAGUGGAAAUCAUCUGCCAUCCAUGGAGACACCAGGAGUUUGGUGCCAGUGCUAUUGUGUGAGACAGGUUAAUCUUGCUGUGCUGCAAAAGAAAGUCAUAUUCCUUGGGAUUCUUUGCUGUAAUUUUUUGCUGUCCACACUCCUAUACUUUGGAGGACUAAAUAUUUCCACCAAUCUCAACAGACUUCCCCCUCCCCCGGUAAUGUAUAACUAUGAACAAAAUAUACCUUUGCCAAAGUCAUAGAUUUUCUAAUGUUUCUCCUUUGGAAGAAGUAGGUACUUAAAAUGGGCAUUUAAAAUAACCUCUGUUUUCAUGGUAUGAAGGAAAGUGAUUGUACAGUGUACUUAUUUUGAUGCAUUUAAAAAUGUGUACCUACUGUAUUAUACAC
rnacentral:lncRNA from 1 species